GAUUACAUUAUUGAUAUAAAAAAAAUCAUUAAACUGUCGGUACUCGGUACUAUAAUUUAAACCCAUGGGCCAUGGAUAUUUUGGGACUGGGGUAACGUGAUGAACAUUUUAGUUUGAAAAAUUUCAAGUUUUAGUCAACUUCGUUCUGUGUAACAAUCAAAUCCACGCCACAACUACAUCGAUGUUGGCAGUUUUCAACAAUUUUUAGGCUAUUCUGAAUUCUGAUCACUACUAGGGAGAAACUCGUGCUUUAUAUUGUUGAAUAUAUAUAUAUAUAUAUAUAUUAUUUUUAUUUUUUUCUCUUUGAUUCCAUAUAGUAAUUAAUAACUAAUAAUCAAUGGAAUACAUGUUGGAA
rnacentral:lncRNA from 1 species